GCAUCGGCCCCUGGCCGCCCCUGCACCCUGCCCAGGAGGCCCUGUCCAUCCCGGCUCCUGGUGCCACCGCAGUGUAUCCCCGAGGUGGCCUCUGGGCCCCGCGUGGACGUCCUCCCAGGGGCUUGAGGACUGGCCGGAGCCUCAGUGCCCGUCCCCGUGGCCAGAGCAUUGGAGUCAGAACAAAAGCGAGAGCCGGGGGCCGAAGCUUCCCCUUGAGUCUGGGUUUCCCCGUGUGCGAGGCAGGGGUAGGAUUGGGGUGCCCGCGCCGGGGUCAGCACUGACCGUGUCCUGCUCGCCUCCUGCAUGCCACCCCUCGGCCGCGGCCACUGACCCUCUCGCGUGGUGACGGGCUGUGUCCAUUAACCUCGGAUCCUUCCUCCUUUGACCUCUGACCCGUGGUCUUGCCUCUUGUUCCGCGCCCUCCUUAGCCCCUGAAGCUCAUGAACCAGAGGAGGUCCAGGAAGAAGACGCCGCGGAGGAGGAGCGGGAGGACGAGGAAGGUAAGGGCCUCGGUGCCGUGAUGGCGCCCGCGAGAGGGGAGGACGCGCUUGCCCGCUGGCCGCCUGCGCUCCGCCUCGCCGGCUCUCCAUCCCUCUCCCUCCAAGGACAGGCCGGGCUGGGGCCUCGCUGGCGGGCGCUGUCCCCUCGGAGCGUCUGCAGGCACAGGGGGGCGGGGAGGUGGU